rnacentral:tRNA from 1 species
GUCGGGAUAGCUCAGCCGG